AGCAGCCGCGGUAAUUCCAGCUCCAAUAGCGUAUAUUAAAGUUGUUGCAGUUAAAAAGCUCGUAGUUGAAUUUCGGGGUCAGUAGGUCGGUCGUGCCACUGGUAUGAACUGGUUUUACUGAUUCCUCCCUCUUGAAGAACUGUAAUGCCAUUAAUUUGGUGUUGCAGGGAAUCAGGACUGUUACUUUGAAAAAAUUAGAGUGUUUAAAGCAGGCUUUAGCUUGAAUACAUUAGCAUGGAAUAAUGAAAUAGGACGUUUGAUCCUAUUUUGUUGGUUUCUAGGAUUGACGUAAUGAUUAAUAGGGAUAGUUGGGGGCAUUAGUAUUCAAUUGUCAGAGGUGAAAUUCUUGGAUUUAUUGAAGACUAACUACUGCGAAAGCAUUUGCCAAGGAUGUUUUCAUUAAUCAAGAACGAAAGUUAGGGGAUCGAAGACGAUCAGAUACCGUCGUAGUCUUAACCAUAAACUAUGCCGACUAGGGAUCGGAUGAUGUUAAUUUUUUAA
rnacentral:rRNA from 1 species